GAUGAACGCUGGCGGCGUGCCUAAUACAUGCAAGUCGAACGCUGGAACUCUAGGUUGCUAGAUUGAAGGAGUGGCGAACGGGUGAGUAAAACAUAAGCAACCUACCCACGAAGAAUGGGAUAAUCUCUGGAAACGGGGACUAAUACCGGAUAGGUAAUCGGAAGGCAUCUUCUGAUUAUUAAAGGUUAAAAUCACUGGUGGAUGGGCUUAUGGCGCAUUAGUUAGUUGGUGAGGUAACGGCCCACCAAGACGAUGAUGCGUAGCCGGCCGGAGGGGGGGAAAGGCCGCAAUUGAGACAGGGCCACGACCAGGACGCUAAGGGAGGGAAGAGAAUGGUACGGUAGGCAAGAGGGGGAAACCUGACCGAGCAGCGCCGCGUAUGAGAUGACGGCCUUCGGGUUGUAAAGCUCUGUUGUAAGGGAAGAACGGUAGAUAGAGAAUAUCAAAAUGACGGUACCUUACCAGAAAGCCACGGCUAACUACGUG
rnacentral:rRNA from 1 species